AUUGAACGCUGGCGGCAGGCCUAACACAUGCAAGUCGAGCGAGCGGCGGACGGGUUAGUAAUGUAUGUGGCUCUGCCCGAUAGAGGGGGAUCACUACUGGAAACUGUUGCUACUACCGCCUGCUAUCGGAUGAACCCAUAUGGGAUUAGCUAGUAGGUGAGGUAAUCGCGGACCUAGGCCACGAUCUCUAGCUGGUCUGAGAGGAUGAUCAGUCACACUGGGACUGAGAAACGGCCCAGACUCCUACGGGAGGCAGCAGUGGGGAAUAUUGCACAAUGGGCGAAAGCCUGAGCCAGCCAUGCCGCGUGUGUGAAGAAGGCCUUAGGGUUGUAAAGUACUUUAAGCGGGGAGGCGUUACCCGCAGAAGAAGCACCGGCUAACUCCGUGCCAGCAGCCGCGGUAAUUC
rnacentral:rRNA from 1 species